ACAUGGUGGCCGAAUUUCAGCCCCUUUUCCUUAGAAAAUUUUGCCCACACGAAAUUGCUAUUUUCGGGUAUUAUUUGAGUAACACAAUAGAAGAAGAUCGUGGAACGUUCGAAAACCGUGAUCGUGCGGGUGGUGGAGAAUUCAUUGAGUUGCUGUGGAAUUGAAAGCUCACGUGAUAAAGGAGCUUUGUUCACGCUUCAAGAGGUAACCCGUAAAAUUCCGUUUAUGCUAAUUGUCUAGAUUACAUGUGAUUUUGAUACUGGAAUUGUUUUCGCGGCUUAUUAUAAUCCAUCACUCACCUUCUUGACCAUGACUUCAAUGCUAUUAAAUAACUGUAUUUAUACUAUUUUUUACCAUGCUUUCAUCCUACAACAACACAUCUCUUCCGUACAUUAAUCUUUUGCUCUUCAGUAUCAUAAUGCUAUUCAAAACUGUGCAAGAAUCAACAUGUUAUUGAAUCAAUUUCUGGACCCAUUCACCUUAUUCUCUUGCCAAAUUAACUUCGAACUGCAAUAAAAACAUGGGGAUCAUAAGUGCCUUUCCUUAUAUCUAACUUCAAUUAAAACAAAGCUAGAUUGCUAUAUUGCAAUAGAAACAUACGUGGAAGCAACUGAAUAUUUUUUUCGAAAAGUAAGCAAAUGAAUUUUAUUUCAAAAGCUAAUAAAAAAGUUGUUUUAGGCAUAUUAUCAAAUACUUUAGCUACAUCAGUAUGCAGGAGUGCUUCAACAGAGCAUGUACCUAUUCGGAGAUUUUUCAAGAGGCAUUUGAACAAAUAAUCAAAUGCAUGUACAAAAUUCACAAUGAAACUUACAGUAAGACAAAAAAGAAAAACAAAUAUGUAUCCGCCAUAAACAAAUACAAAAUAAUACACUUAAUUGAACAAAAAGGAGGAGAAGAAGAAGAAGAAAAAGGCACAAAUCCAUAGAGAACCUCAAAGCAGAAUGAAGAUUCCUAAGUCAGUAAUCGCUCAGAAUAUUAAAAUUAAAGUUUCACAUGCUCACCAAUUUAUGUCGCAAUUGAAACAAAGACCAAAGACAACGAAGAAUAUAGUUGAAAACUUUCGGCAGAAAUUUAUAUCCAAAGAAUAGGAACUCAUAUGUACCCACCAAAUUAUGCUUACACCAAUAGAAAUGGGCUAAGACCUCGGAAAAUCCAACCAACACUCAACGUAGUUAGCUUGAAUUUUGGAGAACCGGAGAGAAAAAUAGGAGACGGACAUGGAAGAACACCACCGACUACUAAAUUCG
rnacentral:lncRNA from 1 species